AAAACCGGGAAAUCCCCCACAGAAUGCAGACUACAAUUCAACGAACAACACAUGAAAGUUGAAACUGUUUUUUUUUUUUCAAUUUUUGAGAGUGCAAAAUUUAUAUUACUAGAAAUCAUCGAUCAAACUUACCAGGAAAUAGUUUGCGAUGCACUUCACAACCGACAUUCGACUCUUUUGGCAGAAUCACGUGCGCAGGUGAGGAUGACACGGACCAAUAAGACACGACCGUGACUUUGACCGCUCCCAUCGUGAAUGAGACAAAAGUUUCCGUGGGCCAGCCGCCAAGAGCCAUCAAAAUCUGACAUUAGCUGUAAUCACGGCCGUCCCAGCCUCGUCCUUUCAACCCUCCCUGCCUCCCAUCACGAAACAAAUGCCGCCAGUAGAUGAAUGAAAGAUGAUCAAUCAGCUUCGCCAAUUUGCCAAUCACGCGGGAUUAACGGGAACGCGAAAUGGAUCAUCGAAACGCAUCGCGGCAGUUCAUCAAAGUACAAAGUUGAGAGCGAAACACGCGCCAACGCCCCAACGAUGAUGAUGGGAUCUGCCGUAAUAAUCACCCUUCAACUGAUUGUGCGGGAUAUUGCCCCCAGGGCUGAGUACCGCAACGAUGGGACGUAGACCAACCGGGAGCAGCUGUUGCAGUAAACACAAACGAGCGGCGGGAAUAUAGAAAGAAAAAAAAUGGUCGGCCUGAUUUCUCGGAAUAUAUACACCGCCGCUCCGAAAUGGAUCCCACAUCAGCUGAUCGUCUACUGGGUUACUGUGCUGACAAACUGCGAAAGGCUAUACCCCCUCAAGUCCUACUAUACUACAUGUACACGCAAAACUGUGGGAAUAAUUAUAUAUCUAAGCCGAUAUAGUUCCGCAGGGAGAGAAGACUCCCUUUGAUACAAGGGGAACACAUAGGGCUAAAGUUUAGAACGCCGAAACUGCGUUGUCGUGAUCUAUAGAGAGGCAAAUAUAUAAUCCCGGCCCGGUAAAAACAGGAAUAAAGUUUGGAAGAUCGUGACAACAAAAGAUUUAUAUCAUCCCGAAGGGAUAGAUAGAAACUGGAAAAUCAACAACAAUAACAGCAGCAGCAGGAAUAAGCGAAACGACAUCAAAAGAUGAGGGACGACGACGGGUAUGCAAAUAUGUCUACACACAAAAGAGCUUUUUGCCAAUAGGCAUCAGAGACCUUUUAAUAUUGUGUAAUCUAGUAGAGGAGAAAUUCCAACCCCCCUCUUUUUAAAAUUAUUUAUUGGGCAGAUAUAUCCGGCAAUGAAUGACUUCCGGAAUAAUCGAUUGAUGAAGAAAUGACAGAGAGAGCCCAUUUCGAUGAUGACAGAUAUCCCGUCUAUAGUAUAUUCGUUCCGGAAGUAAAAUAGCGGAGCUCUAUCGUCCGUGCAGAAGAGAAGAAAAAAGAAAGAUGAAUGAUGUUGAUUGAACAAUUCUUAUCUAUCCGGAAAGCGGAUGUGAGAAAGUGAAAGUUAUAAGCCGGUCGAUCAUUAUCAUCAUCAUCAUCAUCAUCAUCACGGUCUCCAUUUCUUUUGAAAUGUGACGAGUAUAGUAUAACCCCGCGGCAGGGGUGAAUCAGUUCAACUAUGUUGAUAACCCACAGACCCGAUGAUACCCUUAAUCUUUUCAAUUUGAAAUUACCAAAGAAAUUUUAAAAAUAACGAAUAUCGAAAAUAGAGAGUGUCGGGGUUGGGGUUCACACAUUUUUGGGUUUUGCUAGCCGUUCCUCUUUUUGAUUGCGUAACAGGUUUAGGCAUGGCCAAAAGAAUAAUUUGUCUCUCUCCCUCCGCUGGCGGCCAGUCUUUUAUCCAACUCCAGGCGUGUCGCAUAUUCAUUUGGUGAUGAUGCAAAUGUCAUGCAAAUUUUACCCGUGAAAGUGUUAAAUGACCAGCAACACCAUCUACUUUGGUAAGUCGCGAUUCAUUUUUUGAUUUAUAUUCCACCUCGAUGCCCAUUUGAAGGUUUCAUUAUAUUUCGUUGUCAUGGAGACUCCAUUUGAUGACGAUGUACGUAAACGAACGUAGCGAUGACAAUCUCAUUCACAAAGCUGAGCUAACUUACAUUGGCACAAAUGGUGUGUUGCCUAGCUAUAGAGACACCGCCUUGUUUUUCUGCCCGAAAUAAUUGUAUUUGCUUUAUGAUCGAGCAUAGAAAAUGGCGUAAAAAAACAUUAAA